rnacentral:rRNA from 1 species
AGCCACCGCGGUAAUUCCAGCUCCAAUAGCGUAUAUUAAAGUUGUUGCAGUUAAAGACACUGUUAGAUGAAUUUCGGGGUUAGUAGGUUGGUCAUGCCUCUUGGUAUGUACUGGUCUCACUGAUUCCUCCUUCCUGAUGAGCCGUAAUGCCAUUAAUUUGGUGUUGCGGGGAAUUUGGACUGUUACUUUGAAAAAAUUAGAGUGUUUAAAGCAAGCUAACGCUUGAAUACAUUAGCAUGGAAUAAUGAAAUAGGACGUUCGAUCCUAUUUUGUUGGUUUCUAGGAUUGACGUAAUGAUUAAUAGGGAUAGUUGGGGGCAUUAGUAUUCAAUUGUCAGAUGUGAAAUUCUUGGAUUUAUUGAAGACUAACUACUGCGAAAGCAUUUGCCAAGGAUGUUUUCAUUAAUCAAGAACGAAAGUUAGGGGAUCGAAGACGAUCAGAUACCGUGCGUAGUCUUAACCAUAAACUAUGCCGAUUUGGGAUCGGAUGAUGUUAAUUUUUUAAUGACUCA